CAGCACUUGUAGGCACGACCGGCACCUCGCUCCAAGCGGCCUCGGGCGUGCUCUGCGUCCCCAGGAAGGCUCGACGACGAGAAGCUUCCGCGACGGCUCCUCGACCACCAACGCAACCUUCGUCGCUGCUAAAGAGUGGCUAAUGCCCCUGCGAGGCCCUUGCAAAACACCAACCUCUCGAAGAAAUGUCGGGGGCCGCCGAACUCAUCUUCGACGCCAGACAGAUCAAACAUGCAUGGUGUGAGCCUCCUCAAUGCCCGGGGGUGCCAUUUUAUAGGCCGCCGGAGCUCCUAGGCAUCCGGGUCGGGCCAAUGGUGCGGCGACACCUCGCCAUCCUUCUCCCCAAGGAACAAGACAAGAAGAGGAAGAAAUGGGCAAGGGGAGCUUCGCUUUUUCCUAAAAGAAGGCUGGCCUGGUCGAAGAAGGGUGCCCCCCGCCCGGGCCCCGUGCCCCGGCCGUGCCGGCGUCACCCCCGGUGACGAGCGCUGCCUACGGCCGUCCGAUCUAGGGCGCCCAGUCGCCCGUAGCCGUCGGAUCCCCUUACAUAAAACCGAACCGGUAUCGGGCCUAGCCGGGCUCCGGCCCAGCAACAGCCCAAAGAAGCCGGCCAAAAAAAAAAGAAAAAAACUGAGGAGAGCCUCCCGGAGGCGGCCCGGCUUGCAGCCCCACUCGCGUCCACGCACGCUCAGGGCCUGCCCGGCCGGCCCAUGCGGCCGGCAAGGUUCACGUAAAUUUGCAAAAAAGCCCAAGAUUUCGGGAGAAUUGACAAUAAGACCUCGGAAAUUUCGGGGAGGCCUGCAGGGCCCCUGAUUUUUGCAGAAAAGUCCUCCGGGACACCGUAUUUCUCGCAGAGAGGCCCCUAGGGUCCCGGUUUUUGCUAAAUACCACCCGAAACUCGAUUUCUCUCAGAGAAAUUCGUCGUAGGCACGGAAUUUCCCCGAAACGCCUCCAAGGCUCCUAUUCUUUGCAGGAAGACCACCAAGUACCUUUGUUUCUCACAAGGGAGCCUGCCAGGGAAUUCAUCAAAGACAUCAUUAUAAGUACAAGAACAGGACUCAAGAGUCUUGCAUCGAAGGUUGACCCGAAGGCAUUCUCAAUGCCACUGGCUCAAGAGGGCUACUGUUGUAGUAAAAUAAAACCCUUAUAUGGGCCGGGCCAUAAAUCUUACGUGGCGACGACUAACUCAACAUUUCCCAAGCAUAAGUCAAGACGUCCACGUGGCGCAGCCAAUCCUACGUGGC
rnacentral:lncRNA from 1 species